UCUCUCUCCCAGGACGCUCCAUGUCUGGCACUUUCUACAGCCUCUGGGUCUCUGGGGUUGCCCUGGGGUCAUCCCUCAGCACCCAGGACUCUCGCUAAUGCCUCCUCCACGGGGUGACUGCACAGAACCCUGGAGGCUCAGGACCCCCGGUGCCCAGGCUGGCACGGACCCAGGGAGCUGUCCUGUCUGGAGGGACUUCUCUGAAGAUCAUCCAGUGCGGCAUUUCUGAAGCAUCUGGAGCAGAAUCUGUGCUGCUUACGGCAGGAGCCACGAGCCACUAGCCACACGUGGCUCCUGAGCAUGUGAAAUGUAGCUAGUCCACUAGUCCAAGCUGAGAUGGGCUCCCUGUGUGAUAUACAAGUCACAUUCUGGAGACUGUAAAACUACAGAGAGAGUGUGCUCAAGCAAGCACAGGAGAGGAACAGAGGAAGAGGGCAAGGAGACUCCGUGCUGAUGAGAUCCCAGGACCCCAAGAUCAUGACCUGAGACAAAAUCAAGAGCCUGCUGCUGAACUGACUGAACCACCCAGGUGCCUCUGGACUGGAAAAUUAUACAAAUAAGAUAACAGUAUAUUCACUGCCUUCUUAAUAAAGCUAGUCAACUUCUUAAGGAAGAAAAAAAGAAAA